rnacentral:sRNA from 1 species
GCUGGGCACGGUGGCGCACACCUGUAAUCCCAGCAGCCUGGGAGGCUGAGGCAGGAGGAUUGCAAGUUCAAAGCCAGCCUCAG